AUUGAACGCUGGCGGCAGGCCUAACACAUGCAAGUCGAGCGGAGCGGCGGACGGGUGAGUAAUGCCUAGGAAUCUGCCUGGUCGUGGGGGAUAACGUCCGGAAACGGGCGCUAAUACCGCAUACUAUCAGAUGAGCCUAGGUCGGAUUAGCUAGUUGGUGGGGUAAAGGCCUACCAAGGCGACGAUCCGUAACUGGUCUGAGAGGAUGAUCAAUCACACUGGAACUGAGACACGGUCCAGAGUCCUACGGUAGGCAGCAGUGGUGAAUAUUGUGCAAUGGGCGGAAGCCAGAUGCAGCCAUGCCGCGUGUAUGAAGAAGGCCUUCGGGUUGUAAAGUACGGUCAGCGGGGAGGCGGUACCCGCAGAAGAAGCACCGGCUAACUCCGUGCCAGCAGCCGCGGUAAUUC
rnacentral:rRNA from 1 species